UAACGCGUCUGGGCAGGAUACUACGUGUUACUCACCCGUCCGCCACUCGUUGGCGACCAAAAUCUAUCAGGUGCAAGCACCAUCAAUCAAUUGGGCCAACGCGUUCGACUUGCAUGUAUUAGGCACACCGCCGGCGUUCAUCCUGAGCCAUGAUCAAACUC
rnacentral:rRNA from 1 species